rnacentral:rRNA from 1 species
UUGAAGAGUUUGAUCAUGGCUCAGAUUGAACGCUGGCGGCAGGCCUAACACAUGCAAGUCGAACGGUAACAGGAAGAAGCUUGCUUCUUUGCUGACGAGUGGCGGACGGGUGAGUAAUGUCUGGGAAACUGCCUGAUGGAGGGGGAUAACUACUGGAAACGGUAGCUAAUACCGCAUAACGUCGCAAGACCAAAGAGGGGGACCUUCGGGCCUCUUGCCAUCGGAUGUGCCCAGAUGGGAUUAGCUAGUAGGUGGGGUAACGGCUCACCUAGGCGACGAUCCCUAGCUGGUCUGAGAGGAUGACCAGCCACACUGGAACUGAGACACGGUCCAGACUCCUACGGGAGGCAGCAGUGGGGAAUAUUGCACAAUGGGCGCAAGCCUGAUGCAGCCAUGCCGCGUGUAUGAAGAAGGCCUUCGGGUUGUAAAGUACUUUCAGCGGGGAGGAAGGAGUAAAGUUAAUACCUUUGCUCAUUGACGUUACCCGCAGAAGAAGCACCGGCUAACUCCGUGCCAGCAGCCGCGGUAAUACGGAGGGUGCAAGCGUUAAUCGGAAUUACUGGGCGUAAAGCGCACGCAGGCGGUUUGUUAAGUCAGAUGUGAAAUCCCCGGGCUCAACCUGGGAACUGCAUCUGAUACUGGCAAGCUUGAGUCUCGUAGAGGGGGGUAGAAUUCCAGGUGUAGCGGUGAAAUGCGUAGAGAUCUGGAGGAAUACCGGUGGCGAAGGCGGCCCCCUGGACGAAGACUGACGCUCAGGUGCGAAAGCGUGGGGAGCAAACAGGAUUAGAUACCCUGGUAGUCCACGCCGUAAACGAUGUCGACUUGGAGGUUGUGCCCUUGAGGCGUGGCUUCCGGAGCUAACGCGUUAAGUCGACCGCCUUGGGGAGUACGGCCGCAAGGUUAAAACUCAAAUGAAUUGACGGGGGCCCGCACAAGCGGUGGAGCAUGUGGUUUAAUUCGAUGCAACGCGAAGAACCUUACCUGGUCUUGACAUCCACGGAAGUUUUCAGAGAUGAGAAUGUGCCUUCGGGAACCGUGAGACAGGUGCUGCAUGGCUGUCGUCAGCUCGUGUUGUGAAAUGUUGGGUUAAGUCCCGCAACGAGCGCAACCCUUAUCCUUUGUUGCCAGCGGUCCGGCCGGGAACUCAAAGGAGACUGCCAGUGAUAAACUGGAGGAAGGUGGGGAUGACGUCAAGUCAUCAUGGCCCUUACGACCAGGGCUACACACGUGCUACAAUGGCGCAUACAAAGAGAAGCGACCUCGCGAGAGCAAGCGGACCUCAUAAAGUGCGUCGUAGUCCGGAUUGGAGUCUGCAACUCGACUCCAUGAAGUCGGAAUCGCUAGUAAUCGUGGAUCAGAAUGCCACGGUGAAUACGUUCCCGGGCCUUGUACACACCGCCCGUCACACCAUGGGAGUGGGUUGCAAAAGAAGUAGGUAGCUUAACCUUCGGGAGGGCGCUUACCACUUUGUGAUUCAUGACUGGGGUGAAGUCGUAACAAGGUAACCGUAGGGGAACCUGCGGUUGGAUCACCUCCUU